AAAUAAAUUUUUAUUUACAUUUUCCUUUUUUCUCAUUGAAUUUCACGUUCAUCAAGUCUUCCAAAUCCUUCUAAGUCAUUUUCCUCUUUUGAUUCAUCAUCUAAACAUAUUCCAAAA
rnacentral:sRNA from 1 species